CUAGUAUUGAAUAGUUCACUGUAUAUCGUUAUUCGGUAAACAAACAGUGGACACAUUGAAAAGAAUAAAAAACAGAUACUAAAUAUACUUUUAAGCCUGUGGUAUUGGGAUGAUAUAGAAUAUUCUGUUUGUUUUCCUUUUAUUUAUUUUGUUGAGAACGAUACAUGUCGUUUUUUUUAAUAACAUUUGUAGAAUCGAAGUGG